UACGUAGGGUGCGAGCGUUAAUCGGAAUUACUGGGCGUAAAGCGUGCGUAGUCGGUUAUCUAAGUCGGGUGUGAAAUCCCCGGGCUCAACCUGGGAAUUGCAUUCGAUACUGGAUAGCUAGAGUUCGGCAGAGGAGAGGAGUAAGUUUCGGGUGUACGGUGAAAUGCGUAGAUAUCCGAAGGAACAUCAGUGGCGAAAGCGGCUUCCUGGACCAGAACUGACGAUCAGGCACGAAAGCGUGGGGAGCAAACAGG
rnacentral:rRNA from 1 species